rnacentral:rRNA from 1 species
ACUAGUGAUUAAGUACUGUGAAGGAAAGUUGCAAAGCACUUUGAAGAGAGAGUUAAAGAGGACGUGAAACCGGUGAGGUGGAAACGGAUAGAGCCAACGGAUCUGGCCUGUAUUCAGCCUCUCGGCCGGCCCGCCGUCAACGUCUGGACCCGCUACUGGUCGGGCGUUGGCUCCAAGGGUUGGUCGGGUGGUGCAUUUGCAGGUGGAGUGCGCUGAGCGGCGUGGGCCAUCGGUUGGAGGCGCGCCAAGAGGCCUUUGCUUGCAUUGGAACCAGGGCGCGUGGAAGACUGUUUGGUGUGCGUUCUAAAGGCGACGGCUUACGCGGGUCGUUUCGGCUGCAAUUCCGACUCGUAACGGUCGCAUGCGACACGUGCUUGGCGGGGUGGUUGUCGGGGCGGCGUGCUCGCUUGACCAGCUCGGCGUAAAGUUGGUCAUCUCUCCGACCCGUCUUGAAACACGGACCAAGGAGUUUAACGUAUACGCGAGUCAUUGGGCGGCAAACCCAAAGGCGCAAUGAAAGU